AAUCAACGCUGGCGGCGUGCCUCAGACAUGCAAGUCGAACGCGAAAGGCCCCUUCGGGGGCCCGGUAGAGUGGCGCACGGGUGAGUAACACGUAGGUAAUUUGCCUUCGGGUGGGGAAUAACAGCCGGAAACGGCUGCUAAUACCGCAUAAUGCAGCGGCUCGACAUCGAGACAGUUGUUAAAGCGGGGGAUCGCAAGACCUCGCGCCUGAAGAGAAGCCUGCGGCAGAUUAGCUAGUUGGUGAGGUAAUGGCUCACCAAGGCGACGAUCUGUAACCGGCCUGAGAGGGCGGUCGGUCACACUGACACUGACAUACGGGUCAGACUCCUACGGGAGGCAGCAGUCGGGAA
rnacentral:rRNA from 1 species